GUUAACUAACGCACCCAGCUGCUAGGAGGCAGGGCUGGGCUUCAGACCAUGGAGUCUGGCCCCAGUGCCUAGGGUGGCACUUGAAGCAUAACAAGCAUUAGGUGAGAUGCUACAUCAGUGAGGUGACCACUUGUCCUGCUUUGCCUGGGACAGUCCCACUUUACACUUGUGGUCCUAGUAAAGUGAUCAGUGAUGCUUCAUUUCAUUCAUUGGUUACAUGGUCAGCUUCUGUAUUGAGCAUUCAGGACAGUCCUGGGGACAUGGGGGCACUGCCUCCGUGGGAGCAGUGGAGGGGGAGAUGACACAGCCACAGAGCACCCAGGCUGCCUUACCUGGGGGUGCCUGGGUUACCCGCAGAACAGAGACGUCCUCGUUCGUUAACUCCUUCACCCAGCAAUCCACGGACCUGUCACACCAGGCAUUUGAGUGUCAUGCUGAUGGCUGGGUGAGGAUGGGGAGGACCGAGACAGAAGACAGCCAGCAGGCUCUGGGAAAUGAAGUCACAUCCAAGACCUGUCUUUCUGAGAAAUGCAAAGUAUUACCAUUAUCAUCAUAUUCCCAUAGCUUUGUUCGGCAAUUAUGAAAAUAUGGCCAUUAACCAAGCAGAUUCUGAUGACCUAUUGUUUGAAUAUAAAAUAAAAAAGAAGCAAGAACAAGCCUCUGUUAUGUGUCCAGUAUUUAGAAGUUCUCGUUCCUGAACCGACCUCAGGGCAGAGCCGGUCCGCAGGCCAUUUGGAGCCAUUGCUGUCCCUGCGAUGCCGGGUAAUCGCUUUAUCUUUGAUGCUGCGUCCAUCACGCCCUGCCUCUCUGUCCUUAGAUAUGCUUGUGUGAUGUCGUGGGAUGUGGCUUUCCCAGGCAGUCUGUUAAGCAGCUGGAGUUCUACUCUGGCCUCCUGGUUGAUGUUUUAUGAAAGAGCUGCCCUAGUUCAUCACACCCUAAAUAUUAGAGCUAAAGAACACAGGCUCUGGAGUAGCGUGACCAGUUUGUUCUGAUUUGCCCAAUAUCAUCCCCAUUAUACUGAAAGUCUUGAAUUACAGGAGAUCCCUCAGACCCAGGAAAACCCAAGAUGCAUGGCCACCCUGCUCUGGAGUGCACACAGUGCUGGGCCACCAUCUGUGGCUCUGCUGUGUGGCGGCAGGUGCUUGGUGGUUCAGAUCUUCCUCCUGGCACUAAGUAGUUGAUGUCAUCCCUGGUCUCAGUGGAUCAGUGGUUCGUCUACCUAGUCCUUGUUCCUCUGCGCCCUUUAUUUUAAUUUUUAUUUUUUGAGACAAGGUCUCUCUGCGCCCAUGCUGGGGUGCAGUGGCACAAUUAUGGCUUAUUGCAGCCUUGACCUCCCAGGCUCAGGGCAUCCGUCCCCCUCAGCCUCCCGAGUAGGUGGGACCACAGAUAAUGCCACUGUGCCUGGCCUAGCUAAUUUUUAAAUUUUUUGUAGAGACAGGUCUCUCUAUGUUGCUCAGGUUGGUCUUGAACUCCUGAGCUCGAGCGAUCCUCCUGCCCCAGCCUCCCGAAGUGCUGGGAUUAUAGGCGGGAGCCACUGCGCCUGGCCUUCUGCCCCUUGAGGUGCCAGUCUGGUCACGUUACCUCAGAGUGGAUGUCUAGAAUUGAAUUCUGAAUCUCAACUCACUGCCUUGCUCUGAGGUUGCCUGAAGCCCAUGGCUUCACUCCAGAUCCUUGAGCAUAUGGCCAGGGCUGUCGGUGACAGACAUCGUCACCUGGGAACAGGGCGUGAUGUGGCUGAGUAGCUGACAUUUACUGAGGGCCUGUUCAUACCUGGCCGUAUGCUCCAUGGGCUUUAUAUUUAAAUCCUCUCAUGCAGACUCUCAUUUUAUAAAUGGAGAGGUGAGGCUUGGAAAGGGUCAGCUAUUUCCCCAGUGUCAGAAAAGGGCCAGCGGGGCCAGGCCUCGUGGCUCGCACCUGUAAUUCUAGCACUUUGGAAGGCCAAGGCAGGCAGAUCACUUGAAGUUAGAUAUUUGAGACCAGCCUGGCCCACAUGGUAAAACUCAGUCUUUACUAAAAAUGCAAAAAAUAGCUGGGCACGGUGGUGGGCACCGGUAAUCCCAGCUACUUGGGAGGCUGAGGCACGAGAAUCACUUGAAUCUGGGAGGCGAAGGUUGCAGUGAGCUCAGAUCAUGUCACUGAACUUCAGCCUGGACAACAGAGUGAGACUCUGUCUCAAAGAAAAGAAAAAGAAAAUAGGAAAUGGUCAACAGGGCUGGGCGCUGUGGCUCACACUUGUAAUUCUAGCACUUUGGGAGGCUGAGGCAGGUGGAUCAUGAGGUGAGAAGUUUGAGACCACCCUGGCCAACAUGGUGAGACCCUGUCUCUACUAAAAAUACAAAAAUUAGCUGGGCGCGGUAGUAAUCCCAGCUACUUGGGAGGCUGAGGCAGGAGAAUCACUUGAACCUGGGAGGCGGAGGUUGCGGUAAGCCGAGAUCGCGCCGUUGCACUCCAUCCUGGCUGACAGAGUAAGAUUCUGUCUCAAAAAAA